AUAGACUGGGUAUACCUGCAACCAUGAGGAUGUCUCUGUAGAGGAACUACUCAGCUCUCUCACUGUCGUAUCUCUCAGUUGGUUUAUCUAGUCUGUGUCAGGAUGUCACUCAUAUUACUGUUUCUCCUCUCUGCGUUUGUAGAUGAUAGUAUGGAGCAGGAAACAAUAACUCCAGUGAAGCCUGAAGUCAAUGCCCUUCAAGGAACAGACAUCACUCUCUCCUGCAACUACAAGGGCGAUGUUAACAAUCUACAGUGGUACCGACAUUACCCCGGAUCCAGACCAGAAUGUCUUCUUUGGAUCCUACAAAGCAGCAUGUCUGUACAGAAUACAUCCAUUACAACUCCAUGACACACUGGUAGACUGAAUGAAGAGAAGACCCGUGUUGACUUGAUGAUCUCAUCUGUUGAAUUGGAAGACUCUGCUCUAUAUCACUGCGCCUUGCAGCCCACAGUGACAGGAAACCCAGACACACUGUACAAAAACUUGUCAACAUAUACUGUAGAAAGAAACCCAUAACAGAAAACAUUUAAUGUUGGUGUCAAGAGGAGGGGGUGUAUAAUCAAAGAUCCACAUGUAGUUUAUGGGAUGUUAUUGUUCAGGAAGUAUCUAAUUAGUCAGGUCUCUCACUGCUGUCUGUCAGGUUCUCAAAGGUCUGGCAAGAUGUUUUUCUUCUCAUUUGUUCUCUUUUCCGCUUUUUUAGGAAACAGUUUUGGGGAUUCAAUAAACCCUGUGACUACAGAAGAGCUUGUUCAGGAGGGAAGGAAUGUCCAUCUCUCCUGCAAAUAUGAUGGCACUGUCUACACUCUACAGUGGUACAGCCAAUAUCCCAGAUCCAAACCAGAAUUCCUCCUGUACAUCACACCAGAGGGGUUAAUAAUUACAGCUACUCCCCCACCUCCACGUCUGACAGUUUCCCUUGACAAAGUGGACAAACGUGUGAAUCUGAAGA